UACGUAGGGUGCGAGCGUUGUCCGGAAUUAUUGGGCGUAAAGAGCUCGUAGGCGGUCUGUCGCGUCGGUCGUGAAAACUUGGGGCUUAACCCUGAGCUUGCGGUCGAUACGGGCAUGACUGGAGUUCGGCAGGGGAGACUGGAAUUCCUGGUGUAGCGGUGAAAUGCGCAGAUAUCAGGAGGAACACCGGUGGCGAAGGCGGGUCCCUGGGCCGAUACUGACGCUGAGGAGCGAAAGCGUGGGGAGCGAACAGG
rnacentral:rRNA from 1 species